rnacentral:rRNA from 1 species
GAUGAGCGCUGGCGGCGUGCUUAACACAUGCAAGUCGAACGAUGAAGCCCAGCUUGCUGGGUGGAUUAGUGGCGAACGGGUGAGUAACACGUGAGUAACCUGCCCUUAACUCUGGGAUAAGCCUGGGAAACUGGGUCUAAUACCGGAUAGGAGCGUCCACCGCAUGGUGGGGGUUGGAAAGAUUUAUCGGUUUUGGAUGGACUCGCGGCCUAUCAGCUUGUUGGUGAGGUAAUGGCUCACCAAGGCGACGACGGGUAGCCGGCCUGAGAGGGUGACCGGCCACACUGGGACUGAGACACGGCCCAGACUCCUACGGGAGGCAGCAGUGGGGAAUAUUGCACAAUGGGCGCAAGCCUGAUGCAGCGACGCCGCGUGAGGGAUGACGGCCUUCGGGUUGUAAACCUCUUUCAGUAGGGAAGAAGCGAAAGUGACGGUACCUGCAGAAGAAGCACCGGCUAACUACGUG